UAAAAACCCCGACUUCGGAAGGGGUGUAUUUAUUAGAUACAAAACCAAUGCCCUUCGGGGCUCUUUGGUGAUUCAUGAUAACUAUACGAAUCGCACGGCCUUGCGCCGGCGAUGGUUCAUUCAAAUUUCUUCCCUAUCAACUUUCGAUGUUUGGGUAUUGGCCAAACAUGGUUGCAACGGGUAACGGAGGGUUAGGGCUCGACCCCGGAGAAGGAGCCUGAGAAACGGCUACUACAUCCAAGGAAGGCAGCAGGCGCCCAAAUUACCCAAUCCCGACUCGGGGAGGUAGUGACAAUAAAUACUGAUACAGGGCCCUUUCGGGCCUUGUAAUUGGAAUGAGUACAAUUUAAAUCCCUUAACGAGGAACAAUUGGAGGGCAAGUCUGGUGCCAGCAGCCGCGGUAAUUCCAGCUCCAAUAGCGUAUAUUAAAGUUGUUGUGGUUAAAAAGCUCGUAGUUGAACCUUGGGCCUGGCUGGCCGGUCCGCCUCACCGCGUGCACUGGUCCGGCCGGGCCUUUCCCUCUGUGGAACCCCAUACCCUUCACUGGGCGUGGCGGGGAAACAGGACAUUACUUUG
rnacentral:rRNA from 1 species